UUUAUCAGUGGCAACCUGCCACAUGAGAGACAGACACUCCGGGGAUGAUACAUUCGGAUGGAACAUUACCAUCGCCCUUAGAUUGAGUCUGACUGUUGGGGAAGCUGGUGUUUUUGUGAAAUGUGAAAUAAUUUAGUGCAAACAGGCCCCAAGACAGAAAUGAAAGCUGCAGUAGCUUUUAUUAGUUUAAUAUAUGUCAUUUCUCAACAUGCUUAAUGUUCCGUAAAUACAGUAAAUCAGUCAAAUAUGAUUUAGAUCCGAUAUGACUGAUACGUGUCGCUGUAUUGUAUUUUCUUUUGUUUUUUGAAAUGUAAAACUUUGUAUUCUUCAUAUUCAGGCGUUUUAAAUCCUGAGUGAAGAAAUAGUAUCGUAGCUUCACUGAGUUGCUCUCAUGGUGAAAUAUAAAAUGGUUAAAUUUGGUGCAAUAAUCUGUUGUAUGUAUGUAUUGUACUGUGGAAACUUUGAUACUAUCACUUUUUAUUAUGGUUGUAUUUUUAUACUUGUGUACAAGGCCUUCUAUCACUUCUUUUGUUGAUGUGUGUCGUGUAAACAGGUUACCCAAAUGUCACAUACAAACAUCCUUCUCACCCUCCUUUACCAAAGACUAUGACGUGAUCUAACUGUAGGCACUUCGCUAUUUGAUUUAAGAAUAAUAAUCCGACACCUCACAAAAGAACCUAAGCAUGAAAGUUAAGAUGUAAAAUGUAAAUGAAAAAGCACUUGGAGACCACUAUCCCAUCAAAGAUAGUAUGAUUGUUUGAAUUAGUAAAAGAAACCUUUAAAUUGUUGCAUCUGCAGCCAUUAAAAUGCCACUUUCUUGAAUGCAUUGUAAAUUGAUAUACAUUGACAAUGUAAACUUAGUUCCUUGCAUCUUAUAGUAUUUAUAUCAUCUGUUAUUCAACCUUUAAAGUAGUUCUCUUUUUAUAUAUAAUUCACAUGUAUGGAGUUUAUGGCUGACACGAUGCCUGGCUGUUUUACAUUCUUACGUUUUAUUUACAGUGUUUGUGUUUGAAUGGUUGUUAAGUUUUUGUUAUUACUCAUUUAGUUGUUCAGUCUUUUUGAUGCUUAUGAUGAGGUGGAGUCUGAUGAGAUAUACAUGCUGGCUGAAUGCACUGUCAGCUGGAAAAAUCCUUUUUCACAGAAGACGUUUUGACACGUCACAGUACAGAAAUCACAGUCACGGCUUACUGAGACAUUUGAAUAUACCCUUAAUGUUACUAGUCAAGAUGUCCGCUGUGAAAAAGGCCUUUUGUUGUCCCGCUCCAUCUUUUAGGUAGCCUCUGCUCCACUAGCUUCUGCAACUUAAUGUUUGUUAUUUUAGCUGAAACAUGUUUUGGGGUUUGUAUAUCCAUAUUCUAGGCCAACUGGGUAUUUACUCUUGUACUGAAGAGCACCUUGUCUUUAAACUAACGUGGAAAAAAAGAUUAUUUUGUCAACGUUCAACAGCUCCCUGAAAGAACAGUUUGUAGCGUCUCUACCACCAACUUCUGUAAACCCAUGCAAUCUGUCAUUGAAGGCGUGUUUCACUAGCGGUCCUUGGUCCAUAUUCUAGACACAUGGAUAUUCCCACGAAGGUGUUUGGCUUGUGGGAAGUGAUGUUUGGUGAAGGCAGCUAAAAACAGACAACACAAAAAGAUGAUAUUAAAAUGAUGGUUGUUAUCUGGGCAUAUGGAGUAAACCAAAUCCUGUUGAGCAAGGCUGUGUUGGAUUAUAAAUCAUUUGUGUUACAAGUGUGAUAUUAAUUGAGGCUUUUAUUACCUCUAGUAGUAGAUAUUCAUUUAUCUCAGAAUUUAGAAAGAAACCCAAAUGAAUGUUUCAUCUUUUUAGAAAGACUAGUGAUGACACCUGCUCUCCUGAGAUGGAUCAACUUUGGUUUGAAGCACAACAUGGUUGCGACCAGGAUUAGAGAUGGAAGUGUUUGACUUUGUUAAGAUUGGGGUAAGAAUUUAAGCAGGACUUCCUUUUCCAUAAGAAUGUCUGAACAUCACGACAGUUUUGUGUCAUAUCAUCUGAGAUAUUUGUCUUUCCUCACUGUUAGCAGACUUGUUUUAAACAGUAAAGACCUUCACAUGAUAACAGUGUAAUGACUGAUGUGUUUGCCAGCAUGUGAAGUGUAACCUCAGAGCACCCCGUGUACAUCUGUUUCACAUGCUUUGUUAAAUGUAGGACAAGGUGUAAGAACUUAUAUGUUGCAAAAUGCUGUUUCUUUCUUGAGUUUUGUUUACUUGAUGGACAGCACUGACAUGUUGUAAUCAUGACCCUCCAAGGAGGACACUGCAGAAGGAUCAAGAGAUUAAUGGAUGAUUAUGGAAGGUGGAUCACCUAAAAUAGACUCAAUGAUGUGGUUAAUUUAUUGACACUACUGUCGUUUUUAUCUGUAAUAUUUCAAGUUAAAUCAGUGCACAGGAGUUGAUAGUUUAUGUUAUAUUUCCUUUAUUUUCAUUGUUUAAGUGAUUUCUUUCUCUCACCAUCAUCAGCGUUUAAUCAACACGUGGUCUGUUGUCUGUACACGAUGAUUUCCUAAACGUUGACCUCACAUGUUGAGUGUUUUUGAGACGACGUGAAGCCUGUAAAGCUUUCUAUAGUUCACAUUUUAUUCCUGCAUGAUUGUUGUGGAACGUUCAAAGGUUGUGUAAUAAAUCUGAAAGUAACACAUUCUGCUGAAA